rnacentral:tRNA from 1 species
GGAUAGUAAAGUAUUUUUAGAGCUGCUAACUCAUAAUUAUAAUGGUUAAACACCAUUAACAUUCCC